rnacentral:lncRNA from 1 species
UCUGGGAAGUGAGGAGCCCCUCUGCCCGGCCACCAACCUGUCUGGGAGGUGUACCCAACAGCGCAUUGAGAACGGGCCAUGAUGACGAUGGCAGUUUUGUGGAAUAGAAAAGGGGGAAAGGUGGGGAAAAGAUAGAGAAAUCAGAUUGUUGCUGUGUCUGUGUAGAAAGAAGUAGACAUGGGAGACUUCAUUUUGUUCUGUACUAAGAAAAAUUUUUCUGCCUUGGGAUGCUGUUGAUCUAUGACCUUACCCCCAACCCUGUGCUCUCUGAAACAUGUGCUGUGUCCACUCAGGGUUCAAUGGAUUAAGGGCGGUGCAAGAUGUGCUUUGUUAAACAGAUGCUUGAAGGCAGCAUGCUCGUUAAGAGUCAUCACCACUCCCUAAUCUCAAGUACCCAGGGACACAAACACCUCGGAAGGCCGCAGGGUCCUCUGCCUAGGAAAACCAGAGACCUUUGUUCACUUGUUUAUCUGCUGACCUUCCCUCCACUAUUGUCCUAUGACCCUGCCAAAUCCCCCUCUGUGAG